CCGUCAAUUCAUUUGAGUUUUAGCCUUGCGGCCGUACUCCCCAGGCGGAGUGCUUAAUGCGUUAGCUGCGGCACGGAGAGGGUUGAAGGCCUCCCCACACCUAGCACUCAACGUUUACGGCUGGGACUACCAGGGUAUCUAAUCCUGUUCGCUCCCCCAGCUUUCGCGCCUCAGCGUCAGGACAGGCCCAGAAAGCCGCCUUCGCCACCGGUGUUCCUCCUGAUAUCUGCGCAUUUCACCGCUACACCAGGAAUUCCACUUUCCCCUACCUGCCUCUAGCCGAUCCGUAUCGAAUGACCUCUCAGGGUUGAGCCCCGAGCUUUCACACCCGACGUGAACGGCCGCCUACGCGCUCUUUACGCCCAAUAAUUCCGGACAACGCUUGCCCCCUACGUAUUAC
rnacentral:misc_RNA from 1 species